rnacentral:rRNA from 1 species
CGCUGGCGGCGUGCCUAACACAUGCAAGUCGAACGGAGAAUUGCGCUGAACAUGAGAUUAGCUUGCUAAAGGAGUGUUCUUGUAAUUCUUAGUGGCGGACGGGUGAGUAACGCGUGAGCAACCUGCCUUACAGAGGGGGACAACAUUGGGAAACCGAUGCUAAUACCGCAUAACGUAUUUUUAAGGCAUCUUAGAAAUACCAAAGGAGCAAUCCGCUGUAAGAUGGGCUCGCGUCCAAUUAGAUAGUUGGUGAGGUAAUGGCUCACCAAGUCGACGAUUGGUAGCCGGACUGAGAGGUUGAACGGCCACAUUGGGACUGAGACACGGCCCAGACUCCUACGGGAGGCAGCAGUGGGGAAUAUUGCACAAUGGGGGAAACCCUGAUGCAGCAACGCCGCGUGAGGGAAGACGGUUUUCGGAUUGUAAACCUCUGUCCUCUGUGAAGAAGAAAGUGACGGUAGCAGAGGAGGAAGCCACGGCUAACUACGUG